rnacentral:rRNA from 1 species
GAACGAACGUUAGCGGCGCGCUUAACACAUGCAAGUCGAGCGAGAAAGGGGCAACCCCGGUAAAGCGGCGCACGGGUGAGUAACACGUAGGUAAUCCUACCCCAGGUGGUGGAUAACCUUCCGAAAGGAAGGCUAAUACAGCAUGGGACCACGACUCCGAAAGGGGUUGAGGUGAAAGUCGGCCUCUUCACGAAACGCCGACGCCGAGGGGAUGAGCCUGGCCGGCCCAUCCGG